rnacentral:rRNA from 1 species
AUUGAACGCUGGCGGCAGGCCUAACACAUGCAAGUCGAACGAGUGGCAGACGGGUGAGUAAUGUCUGGGAAACUGCCCGAUGGAGGGGGAUAACUACUGGAAACGGUAGCUAAUACCGCAUACCAUCGGAUGUGCCCAGAUGGGAUUAGCUAGUAGGUGGGGUAAUGGCUCACCUAGGCGACGAUCCCUAGCUGGUCUGAGAGGAUGACACGCCACGCUGGAACUGAUACACGGUCCAGCCGCCUACGGGAGGCAGCAGGGGGGAAUAUUGCACAAUGGGCGCAAGCCUUAUGCAGCCAUGCCGCGUGUAUGAAGAAGGCCUUCGGGUUGUAAAGUACUUUCAGCGAGGAGGCGUUACUCGCAGAAGAAGCACCGGCUAACUCCGUGCCAGCCGCCGCGGUAAUAA